rnacentral:rRNA from 1 species
CCUACGGGUGGCAGCAGUGGGGAAUAUUGCACAAUGGGGGAAACCCUGAUGCAGCGACGCCGCGUGAGUGAUGAAGUACUUCGGUAUGUAAAGCUCUAUCAGCAGGGAAGAAAAUGACGGUACCUGAGCAUGAAUCCCUGGCUAACUACGUGCCAGCAGCCGCGGUAAUACGGAGGGGGCAAGCGUUAUCCGGAUUUACUGGGUGUAAAGGGAGCGUAGACGGCAGUGCAAGUCUGGAGUGAAAGGCGGGGGCUCAACCUCCGGACUGCUCUGGAAACUGUACGGCUGGAGUGCAGGAGAGGUAAGUGGAAUUCCUGGUGUAGCGGUGAAAUGCGUAGAUAUUAGGAGGAACAUCAGUGGCGAAGGCGGCUUACUGGACUGUAACUGACGUUGAGGCUCGAAAGCGUGGGGAGCAAACAGGAUUAGAUACCCGAGUAGUC